GAUGAACGCUGACAGAAUGCUUAACACAUGCAAGUCUUUGGCGAAGCUGUGCUUGCACAGCCUAGCCAAGGCGGACGGGUGAGUAACGCGUAAGGAACUUGCCCUGCAGUCAGGGAUAACAGACGGAAACGACUGAUAAGACCUGGUAAAGUCAGGCGGACUCAUGUCCAGCCUGAUGAAAAGUGAUGCUGCAGGAGAGCCUUGCGUCCUAUUAGCUUGUUGGUGGGGUAACGGCCCACCAAGGCGAUGAUAGGUAGCCGGCCUGAGAGGGUGGACGGCCACAAGGGGACUGAGAUACGGCCCUUACUCCUACGGGAGGCAGCAGUGGGGAAUAUUGGACAAUGGGGGCAACCCUGAUCCAGCAAUUCUGUGUGCACGAUGAAGGUUUUCGGAUUGUAAAGUGCUUUCAGCAGGGAAGAAAAAAAUGACGGUACCUGCAGAAGAAGCGACGGCUAAAUACGUGCCAGCAGCCGCGGUAAUACGUAUGUCGCAAGCGUUAUCCGGAAUUAUUGGGCAUAAAGGGCAUCUAGGCGGCCAGAUAAGUCUGGGGUGAAAACUUGCGGCUCAACCGCAAGCCUGCCCUGGAAACUAUGUGGCUAGAGUACUGGAGAGGUGGACGGAACUGCACGAGUAGAGGUGAAAUUCGUAGAUAUGUGCAGGAAUGCCGAUGAUGAAGAUAGUUCACUGGACGGUAACUGACGCUGAAGUGCGAAAGCUAGGGGAGCAAACAGG
rnacentral:rRNA from 1 species